GACGAACGCUGGCGGCGUGCUUAACACAUGCAAGUCGAACGAGAAUCUACAGAUCGAGGAUUCGUCCAAGUGAAGUAGAGGACAGUGGCGGACGGGUGAGUAACGCGUGAGGAACCUGCCUUUCAGAGGGGGACAACAGUUGGAAACGACUGCUAAUACCGCAUGACACAUUGGGGUCGCAUGGCCCUGAUGUCAAAGAUUUAUCGCUGAAAGAUGGCCUCGCGUCUGAUUAGCUAGUUGGUGAGGUAACGGCCCACCAAGGCGACGAUCAGUAGCCGGACUGAGAGGUUGACCGGCCACAUUGGGACUGAGAUACGGCCCAGACUCCUACGGGAGGCAGCAGUGGGGAAUAUUGGGCAAUGGGCGCAAGCCUGACCCAGCAACGCCGCGUGAAGGAAGAAGGCUUUCGGGUUGUAAACUUCUUUUGUCAGGGACGAGUAGAAGACGGUAC
rnacentral:rRNA from 1 species